UUGAGGGUUUUACUUAGGUUUUGAAUUAGGUGGGUUUUUGGUAUUUCAGCUCCCCAAGUUUUUCACUUUCAUUGUGGAUUGUUGUUUUUGGAUUUAAUUAGCUUUGUUUUUUUCAUUUUUCUCAAAUUCCCAGCUGAUUUGGCUUCCAAAUAAAAACGAACAAAUCACCUAAAAAAAGAGCUCCAGGCAAUACAUACAUGAACUCGAUGAGAAGCCACCAUCUCUUAUCUACAGAGUGAAGAAGAACUCAACAGAUUUAGAUUGUAGAAAAAUGAUCAAAAACAGCUUCAUGCAAGCACAUGAGUUUGAGAAGAGACGCGCUGAAUCUCACUUCGCCAUUCGCCCCUCCGUCCUCUCAUGAUCUCUCACACCCUCUCUCUAAUUUCAGAACAAUAUUAAGCGGCUCGAGCUCUUUUUGCAUUGAAUCAAUGGCAGUCAUCUAGAGGCACUCAAAUUAGUGUUUUGGAGUGCAUCUUGGCCAGACCACCACAAAAGAGAAAACGGAAACCAAAAUCAGAGCCAUCAAAACAAACAAAUGCUGGUAUGUCCUAAAAAAGCUGAAGCCAAGUGUGGAUAAAGAGAAAGAUCUCAUGGCAGGAAUCAUGAACUUGAUGAAGGUGAGGUUAACAAAGUGUGCUUUAGCACCAAGAUUGGAAUUUGGGUGUUCUGAGCUUUGUUUUGUUGUGAUUUUUCUAU